CUUUACAGACCCCGUUCCCUUCUGGAGAAAUUCUCCUGUGGUGUAGAAGCAUGCUACAAGCUUUCUGCAGCAUUUAUCCCCACCCAGCGCUCCAUAGGCUGCUUUUUAUUCCACACACACUCUGGCUUACGCUUGAACAACAUCUGCAAUGUGUGAGGAGCCCAUUUGACAGCAACGGCCCUGACACGUGGAUCUCCCUUUCCUGCCUGCUUCACAUUCCUUCCACGGAGAGCCAGACCUCUCGGGCUCCGAGCAAAGGGAAUGCGCGCUAACGCUGCCGGUAAAGCACAUGCCUGGGACUAUGAUUUAAAAGGUGUUUUGCAGUCACGGUGGUUUUAUGUAGGGAUAGGCAUGUGAACCACGUCGCCAGGCUCUUUCUCACCUAGUGCUCUGCUUUUUCCCCAAGUUCAGUGAUCACAGGAAGGGGUUUGCAACUCACAUUUGCGACUGGUAGGCUCCGAAAGCGGCAGGCGAUUACCGGGGAACAUUUUGGAAAGGUGGGCAAGUGGCAGGCGGAACAACGGCGGGCUGGAGCGGAGGGAAGGUGGCUGCUACACGUGUAACGCCUGCAGCUGCGCCAGCUACGCUGGAGGGAGGACUUGGAUCUGCAAGUGUCACGCUGGCUGGUGACUGAAAGAGAAGAGGCAAGCAGAGAAGGAGGAGGAGCUGCAAGGAUGGUUGGUGGGAACUGGCUCUGAUAAAAAUAUUUGUAGAGUGCUAGGAGCAUACAUUGUGUUGAAACAGAUUUAUCUCUAUUGCUAGACUUGUUAUUGCAAACUGUAAAGUGAUGCUAUUCAUGAAUACUCAUUUUUUCUGAAUCUGCUGUUCAGUAUGCCAAGCAUAUCAAUCAGUUGUACCAUUGUCAGUUAAUUAAUGUUUGAUUGCAUUAAAUAUAGGGUGUUGAAGAGGAGGUUCCUUCUUGGAGGGGGGGUACCUAUGUGUGGGUUCUUUGGAGGAGAGAGGGAUGUGGUCUUAAUAAUUAUGCUCAAGCGUGAGCAAAGUCGAUCUGUAAUCUGGGUGCACGUAUUUCUGUGCCACGCACCACUCUUACGGGCACACUGAAGGGGGAAGACAAAGGUCAGGACUUUGCUUUCCUCAGCCCUGUAUACUGGAUUUUCAUAUACAGGGCAGCAUAUGGAAAUGUAGGAGUUGCCAGAUGAGAAAACUGGAGAAGUAAUAUGUGGAGACAGACAGAGAGAGAGAGAGAGAGAGAAAUAAAAGAAAGAAAGGACAGAAGAAGAAAAAGGAAAAAAAGGUUGAGUUAUGCAUAGAGUAUAUAUCUAUAACUAUUUGAUAGCAUUUUGUAACACAACGGACAUGAUAGUAUUCAAAAUAAUGAAUGGUUUGAUUAAGACAAAUCUGUCUUCUUCUUCAAGCCGCAUAAUACCGAGUCAAUCACAGAAAUGGAUUGGUAGUGAUUUCAGGCAGGAGAUACUGUACUUCUUUACAUGGUAUAUAAUUAAUCUGUGGAAUUUCAUUUCUGCAAGAAAUUACUGAGUCAAAUAGCUCAGUGGGAUUGUAAAGGAGCCUAAAUAUAGAAGAGGCAGCUGUGCUAAGAUAGCAGGUUAGUUCAGACUAAUGACAGUGGAGAGCAAACUUCAUUCUUCAUGAUGAAAGCUGCUGUCCAUUGAACGAAUGGGGAAAAUUUCCCCAAUCCUAUGCAGAAAUGGCCAAAGCAAGACGGAAGAUUUCUGCCAUUCUGCAGCAAUUCAAAGUGGGCCACUGACAGACGCAAGGUGCUUACAAGAUGCCUGGAUUUCUUUUUUUCUCCUUUUCAUUCCCUGUUGAGAGUAAAGAUGUGACCUGUCAGAAACAAAUUAUUCCAAUUACUUGACAAGCUAUUGUGCUGCAGUAUAAGAAAUUAUCUCAAAUAUGAUUUUGUGCAUAAUUGUAACCAGCUUUCCAUAUGCCAUAUGUAACGUAUAUAUAUGGUUACCUAGGAAGAGCUAACUGUGAUAAAUUAUAUUUCAAUAAAGAAAACACAUUUCAGGCAAGUUGGGUAACAAUAUUUCAGAAGAAUAACCCUUCUUUAAUCAUAUACUUUGAUGGAAGAAUGCUCAUAUGCACAUCAGCACAACUCAAUUCUUUCCACAAGGAACUGACAUCUUAAACUGCUCUAAACAAUGAAUCACCUUGUCAAAUAAAGUGCAAAAUGGAAAA